rnacentral:tRNA from 1 species
CGGCGUGUGGCUUAAGGGUAUAGCGACGGUGGAAGCCGUAGAUGCGGGUUCGAAUCCCGUCAUGCCGG